AGCGGACCCGAAAAGUCGUCUCAGUUCGGAUUGGAGUCUGCAACUCGACUCCAUGAAGCUGGAUUCGCUAGUAAUCGCGCAUCAGCCAUGGCGCGGUGAAUACGUUCCCGGGCCUUGUACACACCGCCCGUCAAGCCAUGGAAGCCGGGGGGUGCCUGAAGUGCGUGACCGCAAGGAGCGCCCUAAGGUAAAACCGGUGACUGGGGCUAAGUCGUAACAAGGUAGC
rnacentral:rRNA from 1 species